GAGUUUGAUCAUGGCUCAGAUUGAACGCUGGCGGCAUGCCUUACACAUGCAAGUCGAACGGCAGCAUGGGAGCUUGCUCCUGGUGGCGAGUGGCGAACGGGUGAGUAAUGCAUCGGAACGUAUCCUGGAGUGGGGGAUAACGUAGCGAAAGUUACGCUAAUACCGCAUAUUCUGUGAGCAGGAAAGCGGGGGACCUUCGGGCCUCGCGCUCUUGGAGCGGCCGAUGUCGGAUUAGCUAGUUGGUGAGGUAAAGGCUCACCAAGGCGACGAUCCGUAGCAGGUCUGAGAGGAUGAUCUGCCACACUGGAACUGAGACACGGUCCAGACUCCUACGGGAGGCAGCAGUGGGGAAUUUUGGACAAUGGGGGCAACCCUGAUCCAGCCAUGCCGCGUGAGUGAAGAAGGCCUCGGUGUAAGACGUCUUCGUCG
rnacentral:rRNA from 1 species